CACGUAGGGGGGCGAGCGUUUGUCCGGAUUCAUUGGGGCGAAAGGGCGCGCAGGCGGCUCGGAAAAGUCGGGUGUGAAAACUCGGGGGCUCAACCCCCGGGCGUGCAUCCGAUACUGCCGGGGCUUGAGGCAGGUAGGGGAGAUCGGAAUUCCUGGUGUAGCGGUGAAAUGCGUAGAUAUCGGAAGGAACAUCAGUGGCGAAAGCGACUUCCUGGACCAGUACCGACGUCAGGCACGAAAGCGUGGGGAGCAAACAGG
rnacentral:rRNA from 1 species